GACAAACGCUGGCGGCGUGCUUAACACAUGCAAGUCGAACGGAAAGGCCCUGCUUUUGUGGGGUGCUCGAGUGGCGAACGGGUGAGUAACACGUGAGUAACCUGCCCUUGACUUUGGGAUAACUUCAGGAAACUGGGGCUAAUACCGGAUAGGAGCUCCUGCUGCAUGGUGGGGGUUGGUAAGUUUCGGCGGUUGGGGAUGGACUCGCGGCUUAUCAGCUUGUUGGUGGGGUAGUGGCUUACCAAGGCUUUGACGGGUAGCCGGCCUGAGAGGGUGACCGGCCACAUUGGGACUGAGAUACGGCCCAGACUCCUACGGGAGGCAGCAGUGGGGAAUAUUGCACAAUGGGCGGAAGCCUGAUACAGCAACGCCGCGUGCGGGAUGACGGCCUUCGGGUUGUAAACCGCUUUCGCCUGUGACGAAGCGUGAGUGACGGUAAUGGGUAAAGAAGCACCGGCUAACUACGUG
rnacentral:rRNA from 1 species